rnacentral:rRNA from 1 species
AGAGUUUGAUCCUGGCUCAGGAUGAACGCUAGCUACAGGCUUAACACAUGCAAGUCGAGGGGAAACGGCAUUGAGUGCUUGCACUCUUUGGACGUCGACCGGCGCACGGGUGAGUAACGCGUAUCCAACCUUCCCAUUACUGUGGGAUAACCUGCCGAAAGGCAGACUAAUACCGCAUAGUCUUCGAUGACGGCAUCAGAUUUGAAGUAAAGAUUUAUCGGUAAUGGAUGGGGAUGCGUCUGAUUAGCUUGUUGGCGGGGUAACGGCCCACCAAGGCGACGAUCAGUAGGGGUUCUGAGAGGAAGGUCCCCCACAUUGGAACUGAGACACGGUCCAAACUCCUACGGGAGGCAGCAGUGAGGAAUAUUGGUCAAUGGGCGAGAGCCUGAACCAGCCAAGUAGCGUGCAGGAUGACGGCCCUAUGGGUUGUAAACUGCUUUUAUGCGGGGAUAAAGUGAGGGACGUGUCCCUUUUUGCAGGUACCGCAUGAAUAAGGACCGGCUAAUUCCGUGCCAGCAGCCGCGGUAAUACGGAAGGUCCAGGCGUUAUCCGGAUUUAUUGGGUUUAAAGGGAGCGUAGGCUGGAGAUUAAGUGUGUUGUGAAAUGUAGACGCUCAACGUCUGACUUGCAGCGCAUACUGGUUUCCUUGAGUACGCACAACGUUGGCGGAAUUCGUCGUGUAGCGGUGAAAUGCUUAGAUAUGACGAAGAACUCCGAUUGCGAAGGCAGCUGACGGGAGCGCAACUGACGCUUAAGCUCGAAGGUGCGGGUAUCAAACAGGAUUAGAUACCCUGGUAGUCCGCACAGUAAACGAUGGAUGCCCGCUGUUGGUACCUGGUAUCAGCGGCUAAGCGAAAGCAUUAAGCAUCCCACCUGGGGAGUACGCCGGCAACGGUGAAACUCAAAGGAAUUGACGGGGGCCCG